AAAUAAGAGGUCACGCCUGCCCGGUGACUUUUAUGUUUAACGGCCGCGGUAUUUUGACCGUGCAAAGGUAGCGCAAUCACUUGUCUUUUAAAUGGAGACCUGUAUGAAUGGCAUCACGAGGGCUUAACUGUCUCCUCUCUUCUACCAAUGAAAUUGAUCUCCCCGUGCAGAAGCGGGGAUAGUACCAUAAGACGAGAAGACCCUAUGGAGCUUUAGACACCAAGACAGCUUAUGUUAAGCAUUCCUAAACAAGGACCAAACUAGGUAAACCCUGUCCUAAUGUCUUUGGUUGGGGCGACCUUGGGGAAAUAAACAACCCCCACGUGGAAUGGAAACAUGUUUCCAAAACUAAGAGCCACCGCUCUAAGAAGCAGAACUUCUGACCGAUCCGGCAAAGCCGAUCAACGGACCGAGUUACCCUAGGGAUAACAGCGCAAUCCCCUUUUAGAGUCCCUAUCGCCAAGGGGGUUUACGACCUCGAUGUUGGAUCAGGACAUCCUAAUGGUGCAGCCGCUAUUAAGGGUUCGUUUGUUCAACGAUUAAAGUCCU
rnacentral:rRNA from 1 species